CAGACCUGUGCUACUGAGCUCCUAGGCCUCUAGAAGUUUUUGGAGCCUGCAGUGUUUCCUGGAAGGCCUCCCAGGGGAGGAUGGAUCCCCCUGGGGAGGAUGAUGAAGGCGAUCCCCUGGCUUCAGGGUCUGGUGGAGGCCCUAGUGAUCUGGGCCUGGCAAAGGCUGUGAUGGCAACAGCCCAGUCUGAUGUUGAUGGGGACAGUGCAUCUGUGCAAGGUGGUCUGAUGACUUCGGGUCCUGUGAAGGAACAGGAUCCCCAAUUGGAUCCCCCCAAACUGCAGGUUGCUGACUCUCUGAGUGAAGUAACUCAGAUGCUUCCAUUUUGAGAAGCCCACAAAAUUUCUCUUAAAAUCACUGUUUACUACUUAUCGGUGUAUUUAUCUGUGAACAAGUACCACUGGCACAGAGAGUCCCCUGCGGUGGUGUAGGCAUCCCCGUCGAUCAGUGUAGAAGUAUGGGCUGCUGCUAUGACCCAAGUAACACCGGAGCCCCCAUGUGUUACACCAAAGCAGUACAGCAACCUGUAGUGGUGAUCGCACCACCACCAGUGGAAAGCGAGACAGAGAAACUGCAAAAGUUGUGCAUAAGAUGUGCUAGCUAUAGAAAUCAGGGUCUCCUGGGUGGUCUCCUGGGUACUGCUACUGAUCUUCUAUUUGGAGAUAAACAUCCGGAGUGCGCUCCAUGUGGUCGCCGUGGACUUCUGAAACGGGGUGCUGACUCGAAUCCCGGGGAGGCAAAGUCAUCUUCUAAUAAAUCCAAGAACUGAAGACUCAUACAGAGAAACCAAUAUAAGCGAUGUGUGUAGGUGUACCGCAUAUAACUCUAUGGGGGACAUGUACUAAGCAGUGAUAAAAGUGGGGAAGUGAGCCAGUCGAGAAGUGGCCCAUGGCAACCAAUCAGCAUUGAUGUAACAUUUAUAAUUUGCAUACUAUAAAAAUAUACAGAGCAGCUGGUUGCCAUGGGCCACUUCUCCACUGGUUCACUUCUCCACUUUUAUCACUGCUUAGUACAUGUUCCCCUUUGUCUAGUAUAGCACUAUAUAUGUAUGUGUAAUUGAGUUACUGCCUGCAGUAAGAUUGUCUACUAUGCAGAAAUGAAUGCAUCUAAUGCGUCAAUGAAUCAGGGGGUUUCUGUACUUGCUGAAAUAAUCAGUGUAAUUGAAUAAAAGAGU